rnacentral:rRNA from 1 species
UACGUAGGGGGCAAGCGUUGUCCGGAAUUACUGGGCGUAAAGCGCGUGUAGGCGGGCCGGCAAGUCGGUCGUGAAAGGCUUCGGCUCAACCGGAGAUGGCCGAUCGAAACUGCCGUUCUUGAGGGUCGAAGAGGAGAGUGGAAUUCCUGGUGUAGCGGUGAAAUGCGUAGAGAUCAGGAGGAACACCCAUGGCGAAGGCAGCUCUCUGGUCGACCUCUGACGCUGAGACGCGAAAGCGUGGGGAGCGAACGGG